rnacentral:rRNA from 1 species
CCUACGGGAGGCAGCAGUGGGGAAUAUUGCACAAUGGGGGGAACCCUGAUGCAGCGACGCCGCGUGAGUGAAGAAGUAUUUCGGUAUGUAAAGCUCUAUCAGCAGGGACGAAAAUGACGGUACCUGACUAAGAAGCCCCGGCUAACUACGUGCCAGCAGCAGCGGUAAUACGUAGGGGGCAAGCGUGAUCCGGAUUUACUGGGUGUACAGGGGGCGGAGACGGCUGUGCAAGUCUGGAGUGAAAGGCGGGGGCUCAACCCCCGGACUGCUCUGGAAACUGGAAAGCUGGAGUGCAGGAGAGGUAAGCGGAAUUCCUAGUGUAGCGGUGAAAUGCGUAGAUAUUAGGAGGAACACCAGUGGCGAAGGCGGCUUACUGGACUGCAACUGACGUGGAGGCUCGAAAGCGUGGGGAGCAAACAGGAUUAGAUACCCCUGUAGUC